CUACGGGCCGCUGCAGUGAGGAAUAUUGCACAAUGGGGGGAACCCUGAUGCAGCAACGCCGCGUGGAGGAUGACGCAUUUCGGUGUGUAAACUCCUUUUAUAUGUCAAGAAAAUGACGGUAGCAUAUGAAUAAGCACCGGCUAACUCCGUGCCAGCAGCCGCGGUAAUACGGAGGGUGCAAGCGUUACUCGGAAUCACUGGGCGUAAAGGACGCGUAGGCGGGUUGGAAAGUCAGGUGUGAAAUCCUACAGCUUUACUGUAGAACUGCACUUGAAACUUCUAAUCUAGAGUAUGGGAGGGGGAGAUGGAAUUAGUGGUGUAGGGGUAAAAUCCGUAGAUAUCACUAGGAAUACCUAAAGCGAAAGCGAUCUCCUGGAACAUUACUGACGCUAAGGCGUGAAAGCGUGGGGAGCAAACAGGAUUAGAUACCCGCGUAGUC
rnacentral:rRNA from 1 species